rnacentral:rRNA from 1 species
AUUGAACGCUGGCGGCAUGCCUUACACAUGCAAGUCGAACGGUAACAGGUCUUCGGAUGCUGACGAGUGGCGAACGGGUGAGUAAUACAUCGGAACGUGCCCGAUCGUGGGGGAUAACGAAGCGAAAGCUUUGCUAAUACCGCAUAAGAUCUACGGAUGAAAGCAGGGGACCGCAAGGCCUUGCGCGAACGGAGCGGCCGAUGGCAGGUUAGGUAGUUGGGGGGAUAAAAGCUUACCAAGCCGACGAUCUGUAGCUGGUCUGAGAGGACGACCAGCCACACUGGGAAUGAGACACGGCCCAGACUCCUACGGGAGGCAGCAGUGGGGAAUUUUGGACAAUGGGCGAAAGCCUGAUCCAGCCAUGCCGCGUGCAGGAUGAAGGCCUUCGGGUUGUAAACUGCUUUUGUACGGAACGAAAAGACUCUUUCUAAUAAAGAGGGUCCAUGACGGUACCGUAAGAAUAAGCACCGGCUAACUACGUGCCAGCAGCAGCCGUAAAAC